rnacentral:rRNA from 2 species
CAGUAACGGCGAGUGAAGCGGCAACAGCUCAAAUUUGAAAUCUGGCUCCUUCGGGGUCCGAAUUGUAAUUUGUAGAGAGUGCUUCGGGCGAGACCUCGGUCUAAGUCCAUUGGAACAUGGUGUCAUAGAGGGUGAGAAUCCCGUAUGCGACCGUGGCUCGAGCCCAUGUGAAGCCUCUUCGACGAGUCGAGUUGUUUGGGAAUGCAGCUCAAAACGGGUGGUAAAUUUCAUCUAAAGCUAAAUACUGGCUGGAGACCGAUAGCGCACAAGUAGAGUGAUCGAAAGAUGAAAAGCACUUUGGAAAGAGAGUCAAACAGUACGUGAAAUUGUUGAAAGGGAAGCGCUUGCAACCAGACCUGUCCGUAGGCGAUCAGCCGCUGUUCUCAGCGGUGCACUCGCUCUGCGAUCAGGCCAGCAUCGGUUUCGGCGGUCGGAUAAAGGCCUUGGGAAUGUAGCUUCCCUUCGGGGGAGUCUUAUAGCCCUCGGUGCAAUGCGGCCAGCCGGGACCGAGGACCGCGCUUCGGCUAGGAUGCUGGCGUAAUGGUUGUAAGCGACCCGUCUUGAAACACGGACCAAGGAGUCUAACAUCUAUGCGAGUGUUUGGGUGUCAAACCCAUACGCGGAAUGAAAGUGAACGGAGGUGAGAACCCUUAAGGGCGCAUCAUCGACCGAUCCAGAUGUCUUCGGAUGGAUUUGAGUAUGAGCAUAGCUGUUGGGACCCGAAAGAUGGUGAACUAUGCCUGAAUAGGGUGAAGCCAGAGGAAACUCUGGUGGAGGCUCGCAGCGGUUCUGACGUGCAAAUCGAUCGUCAAAUUUGGGUAUAGGGGCGAAAGACUAAUC